rnacentral:rRNA from 1 species
AUGACCACUGGCAAGACCAAUCCCGAGUCAGAUGUCUAUAGCUUCGGUGUCGUGCUCCUUGAGACUGCUUGCGACAGGCGGCAUGUGGUGGUAGCUCAGCGGGAGGAGGACACAGUCCACCUAGCUCAGUGGGUCUGGGAUCUGUAUGGCAAGGGCAGGAUUCUAGACGCCACCGACGAGCGAUUGGGCGGAGAGUUUGAUGCCCAGGAGAUGAAGCGUGUGAUGAUCUUUAGGAUCUGGUGUUCUUAGCUCGACUUCAAAAUGAGACCGUCUAUCAGGCAGGCUGUGAACGUAUUGCGGUCAGAGGCGCCCCUCCCGAGUCUCCCUGUGCUGAUGCCGGUCGCAUAUUACAUGUCUCCGGUUGGUACACGAAGCUUUUCAUCUUUGUCUGUAACAACCGGAAGCAACAAUGGCACUUCUACAUCUUUUGUUUCGUGA